rnacentral:lncRNA from 1 species
UGUUUUCUAUUCUUGUUUUUAAUAAUAUUUUGUUUUAUGAUUGUUAGAAACUAAUUUUCGUUUACUAAGGCGAGGCCAUGAGCCUUAGCAAGAAUAUGUAGUUUCUUUUCAAUUUGCUUAUGAUAUUAUGCAUGUAGGUUUGAAUUAUUAAGCACCGGUUUAAACUAUCUAAUUGUCUUAAUGCUUAGCUACCAUUAGGAUCUUUAGAAAAGUAAUUUGAUGCCAUUUUCGUCGGAACUUGGUCCUUGAAAUUGAUGAAGGCUUCUUGCGGUUAAUAUGUGCAAGUUCACUUAGGUUGAAUACCACAUCUUAAGAGUUGUAUGGUUUUUCAAAAGGUUUCACAAAGCUUAAUAAGUCA